GGGUGAUUAGCUCAGUUGGCUAGAGCGUUUGCUUGACGUGCAAAAGGUCAGUGGUUCGAGUCCACUACCACCCA
rnacentral:tRNA from 1 species